ACUCAAACUAUUUUUGAAAUAACUCUGUAAGUGUUAAAUUAACACCAAUUCUGAUAGGAUGAAACAGACUCGGCAUAGUGUUGAUUUAACUCUGCAGAAUUUGUUGUGUAAGAUUUUAACUAAUGAG